UGGGCGUAAGAGCUCGUAGGCGGUUUGUCGCGUCUGCCGUGAAAGUCCGGGGCUCAACUCCGGAUCUGCGGUGGGUACGGGCAGACUAGAGUGAUGUAAGGGAGACUGGAAUUCCUGGUGUAGCGGUGAAAUGCGCAGAUAUCAGGAGGAACACCGAUGGCGAAGGCAGGUCUCUGGGCAUUAACUGACGCUGAGGAGCGAAAGCGUGGGGAGCGAACAGGAUUAGAUACCCUGGUAGUCCAUGCCGUAAACGUUGGGAACUAGGUGUG
rnacentral:rRNA from 1 species